AUGUUUAUUGAGUGCUUACUACUUACAUGUCAGUGCGAUCGGUGCCCAGGAAAUGCGCGCAGGCGGGUGCCCGGCAAGCUUCAGCGGGGGGGGGGGGGGGGGGGGGGGGGUGCUCCCUCCAAAGGAGCAGAGGGUGCGGGGGGGGGGGGGGGGGGGGGGAGGAAGCGGCGAAAGAAGCCGAAGCCAGAGGUCAAGGGACUGGCGGAGCUUCUGGCCGGGGCGUCCUCUCCAUCUCGAAACCCAGGCGUGGACAGGCGUGCCGCAGCCCCCCGGGACCCCUCCCGUAGCGUCCACUGGGCCGCUGGCCUCACGGGGAGGGCAGAGCUCGGUAGCAAGGCUGGGCGCAGGGCGGGAGGGGUGGCGCGGGCCUGGAGCGAGCUCUCUCGGAGGGGGGCCUCCCCAGCCCAGCGCCCGGACUCCGCGUCGUGGCCUGGAUGGCGGCGUCGGUGCGCGGCUCACCUCCUGCGUGACCUUGUGCGAGCCACUUACCCUCCCCUGGGCUCGAUGACAUUGUCAGUUAAAUGGGUUUCCGAUCACCUUAAGGUUGGUGCAAGGAUUGAGAGGGGAUGCCCGGAAAGCUUCCUUGGGGUGGUUCUGGGCGCGCAGGAAAGGCUCCCGCUCGGGGGCGCACACCUCGCUGGGACCCCCCCACCCCCACCCCCGGGUCCUCCCGGCCGGGUCGCCCGCCCGCCCCUUUCCCGGGGACUGACGACUGGCCCGGGCCGCGUGGGGCGCGGCGUGGGAAGCGGCGGCGAGCGGAGGAGGAGGCGAGGGCGAAGAAAGGGAAGGCGCCGAGGGGCGGCCGGCGCGCGGGGCGGGGCCGGGGGGCGGGGGGGGGCCGGGGGCCGGGGGCGGGCGGGUUCCUGCGCCCCGCGCUGCGCGCACCCGGAGCCCCGGCGGCGGGGCGGGGGCGGGGGCGGGGGCGGCGCGCGGCGGCCAAUGGCGCGCGGCGCUGCGGCGGGGGCGGGGCGGGGGCGGGGCGGCGACACCCGGCUGCUGACAGCCCAAGUCCCCAACUCCGCCCUCGUCCCCGCCGGAGCCCGAGCCCGAGCCCCGAGCCCGAGCCCGAGCCGGCCUGGGGCCGAGGCCGCCCGAGCCGCGCCGCGCCGCGCCGCGAGCGGACAUGGCAGCAGAAUGAGGCCGGCGCCGGGUCGUGGCCGCCGGCGCCGCGCUGCAGCUCGAGACCCGCGCCCGGCGCCCCGCGGACCGCGCGCGUAG
rnacentral:lncRNA from 1 species